CGUAAGACAUACACGCAUAUGGAACCGCGUCACCCACUUGGAAUGAUGGUAAAAGGUUGCGAUCAAGACAAAGGAAGAUAGGUACACCUACCUACAGCUAAAUGACAACACAGGUUGGAAAAAUCUUUAGGAAUAGAUCAAUAGAACAAAUCCACAAUAUUGUAAACGGAUGCCUUUACAAAUCAUUCCGAACCAGUGUUAGAUAAAGACGAUUCAAAAGUACUUGAAUUUAUUUGAAUAAAAAUUAUUUCUAAUUCUAUUUCUACAAUAGGUAUACGUAACAAUAAUUAGCACUGGUAUAAAAAAGAAAAGUAGGAACUAGGUACGUAGGUAGCUAAUAUAGUUACGCUGUAAAAUGUUAUGUACCAAGUAAGUAGUUGAGUGCAAAAUCUUAUUAGUGUUGAUCAUAAUUUUACAAACGUAUUAUUCUUGUGCUCAGCAGUGCUUAUCUUUCACUUGGUGCAUGACAUAUUAAUGGGGGUAUGCAUAGGAGGUUUAUUUAACCCACGGUGCAACGAUAAAUAGAAAAGUAACUCUAAAGAAAGAUGUUAGGUAGAUGGGUGCAGGUGACGUACCAGGACUAUCAAGGCUAUUGGGCGUCGCUUCGGGCAAAGCUUUCGGCGCCGGGUGUCGUUGCAGGCAAGCUAGUUCGACGCACACGGGCUGACGUAGGUCCGAUGUUGGCAUUGGCAUCAGUUGCUCGGCGUCUAUGAAUUCUUUGUA